GGUUGCCCGUCAGAUACUCCAGGCACAUGAACUGCAUUAGCAAGAGGAGCAGCUCGCGACCCAGCACCUCGUUGCCGUGGGAACCGGCCGUGUAGCGAAACUCGGGUUCACCUGGACGCCAAAACAACCUCACCUGAAUGUUGAGACGACCUCUGUGCGCUCCCAGGCCGUAGCGUUUGGUGGUGGACGCGUGGAGCUGGAAGUCGUCGAUCUUCAGCGUCUCCAGUCCCAUGGGAGGGCACUCUGGCUGGAAGUGAAGUUUGGAGCGGACGUCGGCCAUUAAGUGCUUGCAGAGGCGAAGGGAAAUGUGAAAAGAAGUAAAAGAUUGGACGCUCUUUUCGGCGGCAUCAUGCCGAUGGAAGAGAGAGCGAGAGAGUCGCGGCCAAGCGAACAUUUUUUUCUCGCUUUUCCCGCUCAAGAAUGAUGUAACAUCGACAUGCGGCCAGACAAAGUCUUUUUUUUUUUUUUUGUCGGAGCACUGCGGAUAUGAAUGUUUCGUGCGCUCUCAUUUUUUACUUUACCACCCAAUGAGACAAUUUAUAUUUUGCGUCAUCGACUAAAUUAAAAAACCCCAAAGUCAAAACGACUUGAAAUUCCCUCCAAAAUGUUUCUCGUGGAAAUCAUCUCGGAACAUAUCUGAAGGACUAAAAGCAACACGUCACACAUUGCAUAUAAAAUCCACUUGGCUGUCGGAUCGUAAGAUAUUAAGAGUCCUCCGAGCCGGCCCAGCUUUAAAUCAUUAACGUCAUCUGCGUGCAACUCUUUGACAGAACCGCACGGGAAUAAAACAUCUGGUUGGAGGUUGCAGGCCUCACAUGUCGUGUAUUGGAGGGGGGGGGUUCAAAAGUAACACGAUGGACUCGAUUCCUUACCGCCUUU